GAUGAACGCUGGCGGCGUGCCUAAUACAUGCAAGUCGAGCGAAUGGAUUGAGAGCUUGCUCUUAUGAAGUCAGCGGCGGACGGGUGAGUAACACGUGGGUAACCUGCCCAUAAGACUGGGAUAACUCCGGGAAACCGGGGCUAAUACCGGAUAACAUUUUGAACCGCAUGGUUCGAAAUUGAAAGGCGGCUUCGGCUGUCACUUAUGGAUGGACCCGCGUCGCAUUAGCUAGUUGGUGAGGUAACGGCUCACCAAGGCAACGAUGCGUAGCCGACCUGAGAGGGUGAUCGGCCAAACUGGGACUGGAACACGGCCCAGGCUCCCACGGGAGGCAGCAGUAGGGAAUCUUCCGCAAUGGACGAAAGUCUGACGGAGCAACGCCGCGUGAGUGAUGAAGGCUUUCGGGUCGUAAAACUCUGUUGUUAGGGAAGAACAAGUGCUAGUUGAAUAAGCUGGCACCUUGACGGUACCUAACCAGAAAGCCACGGCUAACUACGUGCCAGCCGCCGCAGUAA
rnacentral:rRNA from 1 species